AUGCUGGUCAUAAAACCACGUCUGUGUGGGAUCAAACUUCAAGACUUGAAAGAUGUUUUGCUCUGUCCACAAAAGAAGUGAUACAGAUCUCACUCAGUUUGAAUAUCUGAAACCCACUGUGCCCACUGUGAAGUUCAACUGCUUCUAUCUGACAUGAUAGAGGGAGCUCAAGAUCAUGAGUGCUCUUAUCCUGAAAUGAGUCUCAGAGGCUGUGAGACACCUCCUAGAGGGGCUACCGUGUAUUCUGGGAUGGGUCUAAUUCAGCCUAACCACCUCUACUUUGAAAGGACUAAAAUUAGGGCUGGUAGCCUGGCAGCUGGUGCAUUUGGAGAGCCAACUUGUCAGAGACAGAGAACAAAAACAGAUGUUUAAGACACCCAUUGAAGACCUGCUGAUGCCUUAUGGAACGUGGCAAAAUGUUUAAGGUGAUUACAGCCCAUGUUUCUCACUGAUGAAUGUGGCGGAAAACUGUUGCAGUGAGAAUGCCAAGCCUGAAAUUUCAUUAACUUUGUAGAGGUUUUGCUGAAGAGUCAGCUGUGAAAUGGAAAUUAAGUCAGAUCUGAACAG
ensembl:lncRNA